rnacentral:rRNA from 1 species
AGUCUGACGGAGCAACGCCGCGUGAGUGAUGAAGGUUUUCGGAUCGUAAAACUCUGUUGUUAGGGAAGAACAAGUACAAGAGUAACUGCUUGUACCUUGACGGUACCUAACCAGAAAGCCACGGCUAACUACGUGCCAGCAGCCGCGGUAAUACGUAGGUGGCAAGCGUUGUCCGGAAUUAUUGGGCGUAAAGCGCGCGCAGGCGGUCCUUUAAGUCUGAUGUGAAAGCCCACGGCUCAACCGUGGAGGGUCAUUGGAAACUGGGGGACUUGAGUGCAGAAGAGAAGAGUGGAAUUCCACGUGUAGCGGUGAAAUGCGUAGAGAUGUGGAGGAACACCAGUGGCGAAGGCGACUCUUUGGUCUGUAACUGACGCUGAGGCGCGAAAGCGUGGGGAGCAAACAGGAUUAGAUACCCUGGUAGUCCACGCCGUAAACGAUGAGUGCUAAGUGUUAGAGGGUUUCCGCCCUUUAGUGCUGCAGCAAACGCAUUAAGCACUCCGCCUGGGGAGUACGGCCGCAAGGCUGAAACUCA